rnacentral:rRNA from 1 species
UGCCAGACUCCUACGGGAGGCAGCAGUCGGGAAUAUUGCGCAAUGGAGGAAACUCUGACGCAGUGACGCCGCGUGCAGGAAGAAGGUUUUCGGAUUGUAAACUGCUUUAGACAGGGAAGAAAAAAGACAGUACCUGUAGAAUAAGCUCCGGCUAACUACGUGCCAGCAGCCGCGGUAAUACGUAGGGAGCGAGCGUUAUCCGGAUUUAUUGGGUGUAAAGGGUGCGUAGACGGGAUAACAAGUUGGUUGUGAAACCCCUCGGCUCAACUGAGGAACUGCAACCAAAACUAUUAUUCUUGAGUGCAGGAGAGGAAAGUGGAAUUCCUAGUGUAGCGGUGAAAUGCGUAGAUAUUAGGAAGAACACCGGUGGCGAAGGCGACUUUCUGGACUGUAACUGACGUUGAGGCACGAAAGUGUGGGGAGCAAACAGGAUUAGAUACCCGCGUA